UACGUAGGGUGCAAGCGUUGUCCGGAAUUAUUGGGCGUAAAGAGCUCGUAGGCGGUUUGUUGCGUCGGCUGUGAAAUCCCGAGGCUCAACCUCGGGUCUGCAGUCGAUACGAGCAAACUAGAGUGUUGCAGGGGAGACUGGAAUUCCUGGUGUAGCGGUGAAAUGCGUAGAGAUGUGGAGGAACACCGAUGGCGAAGGCAGCCUUCUGGGCCAACACUGACGCUCAUGCACGAAAGCGUGGGGAGCAAACAGG
rnacentral:rRNA from 1 species